ACAUGCUUACAGCAUAAGGUUAAUGAACCAGAUCCCAUUAGAACUUCGUAGUUAAGCACGCUUAGGCUAGAGUAGUAAUGGGAUGUGUGACCACCCGGGAAGUCCUAGUGUUUGACAUGCC
rfam:Picea glauca, whole genome shotgun sequence.